GGCUCAGAUUGAACGCUGGCGGCAGGCCUAACACAUGCAAGUCGAACGGUAACAGGAAGCAGCUUGCUGUUUCGCUGACGAGUGGCGGACGGGGGAGUAAUGUCUGGGAAACUGCCUGAUGGAGGGGGAUAACUACUGGAAACGGUAGCUAAUACCGCAUAACGUCGCAAGACCAAAGAGGGGGACCUUCGGGCCUCUUGCCAUCGGAUGUGCCCAGAUGGGAUUAGCUAGUAGGUGGGGUAACGGCUCACCUAGGCGACGAUCCCUAGCUGGUCUGAGAGGAUGACCAGCCACACUGGAACUGAGACACGGUCCAGACUCCUACGGGAGGCAGCAGUGGGGAAUAUUGCACAAUGGGCGCAAGCCUGAUGCAGCCAUGCCGCGUGUAUGAAGAAGGCCUUCGGGUUGUAAAGUACUUUCAGCGGGGAGGAAGGGAGUAAAGUUA
rnacentral:rRNA from 1 species